GCUCACUUGACAUCAUGAGGUGCGUGCCGCAGUUUUGGUGUCACUUAAGCGUGUUCUGUCAAAUCAACAUACACAAUUUCAAAUCGGCAUACGUGCACCACAAGGUGACAGCUAUAUUUGUUAGACAAUCAUAACCUGUGAGACCAGCAAUAAUCCUAACGGUAAACCGAAUCAUAUAUCAGUAUAAAAACAAACGUGCUUAUCUUAAAGUAAAGAUCAUUUACUUACCAUUUGUCUACUGUACGAUGAACGUAGAAUUAUUCUACAACGUGCGCAUGCAAAUUAACGCAAUGUAUGCUACUCUGAUUUGUACGCUGAAUAGUUCCGCAGCAGCUGGGUUGAAGCAGACACGUCUACGAUCGAGUCUGUUUUUACUGCCAUUUUAAUUAUAUUCCAGUGCAGAAGUUUAAAGAUUCACAGAUACACAGAGGGAGAAAAAACAGCCAGUUCGUGUUGCUACUGUUUGAAAACUUUUUUUUUUGUGGGAAAAAAAAACUUGGUUAAAGUCUUGGCUUUCGGUUUUGACUUCUUCUUUUCCUUUAUGAGAACGUAUGUAGCGAUAUGUGUCUGAGUUGCGACAUCUGUCGUCCAGGAGAAUAAUACAAUUUUCUGCGCCUUAACCGCGGACGAGAGGAAGCGAACAUCAUUAGGACCACGCGACUGAGCUCCAGCGGAGAUUAUAAAGGUCCAUUUGAAGAAAAAUAUACCAGCAGAGGGUAGCGACAGAUUGCAUUUUCAUCUAACAUGAUUGUGGUUUUGCUGUUCGUCAUCGCUGGACUCUUUUCUCCGUGCUCUUUCCUCACAUCAGGUGGAAACGGCAUGAAUGUAUAUUACUGCGAGACUGAGGGCUGUGUCAAUGAUGUAAAGCGUGUUUUCUGUGAGGAUGUAGAGCUCCUGCGUAACAAAGAGAUUUCAAAUUGUUCCUACGGUCCGCUUCCACCCAAUACCAUCUGCCAACACAGAGGCCGCUUGUUUGUCUCCACCUUCUUAAAUUCCUGUGAAUUUGAAGGGGACACGGGAUAUAUAGACACCAAAACUUGUACAGACUGCUCUUUUUUAAAUAGAGCUACCACACCGGCAGUCACCCCAAGCACUGUGGAAACAUCUUCGCAGCCCAAUUCCAAACUUCUAGGCGUCGUGCCCGCAGUAGUCUGUUCUACAGGUGUGGUACUGCUGUUAGCGGGUUUCUUUUACAGAAAAGCAAAAAAUCAGCAACAACAAAGACGGACUCAAACCAGUCCUGGUUUGCAGAAUGACAGCUCAUUAGUCUAAUGCUUUGGAUGUAACAUCAUACUCCUGGUUCGAGGCCAGGGCAUGCCUCCACUAAGGGUCCUUCCUGCUACCCAAGCCUACUGUGAGGGACAACUGUAGCCAUGCCGGCUCGGACGUCGUCUUGAUUAAGGUCUGCAUGAGGUGUUGAAGAACCAGAAGAGUUUACAUAAGCAGACAGCAUCAUUCUGAUGCUCGCACUUUUGGCUAGUACUUAAAUAGGGCUUUUCCAAGUGAUGGCAACAUCAAGAAGAAGGAAUACUCAAUAGCAGAAUAAGCUGUUUAGUACUACCUGAAAGAAUUUGCCAAGUUUUUCAUGGGGGAAAUCCAAAAAUGUAUUUUCCUCACAAAUGUGACACAUUUAUGUGGAAAUACACAGGCUUUCCAACAUGGAAGUACAAAGAAGGAAUGUUACAACCAACUUUAUAUUAUCUGUAGAUGUAUUAUUAUGUGUGUAAAAAGAAAAUAAUCAUAUUUCUAACCAAAAUGGUUUUCCCUCUUUAAAAUUGUUUAUUUAUUCUUCUUCUCAUUAUGUUCUCUAUGAGACUGGCUGUUGUCAGGGCCCAUUUGUGCCCCUUUACAUACUUUUUUUUUAAUCCAGUGGUGCACUGAAUGAGAAGCAGGAAAGGAAGUGUACAUUUGAUUCAAAGAAAUGGGAUGUAGUCUAUAUUUACAGCUAUAUGCAGUAAACUUUGUUAUUAGAGACAAGGACAUUUAGUUAUUUCUGAACAUGUGUAAGGCUGUCAAACAGUAAUUGUUUUGGCCUUUUCUGAGAAGAAAACAGUUCUUUAUAGCACCUAAAAGUAUCACUACAGAAAUAUGCAUUGGUGGAUUUCUUUACAGAGAAGUGGGUGAAAAUUCCUCCAGAGCUGUGUGCACUCUUAUGCUUUUCAGCAAGGAUUCCUCCAUCAUGUAUCACAUCAGUGGUUCCCAAACUUUUUUUUUGCUAGUUUGGGCACAAACACAUCCUUCAACCACACACACCCAUUUUUGUUUUUCAAACUCCAUUGCAGUUUAUUUCACACCUCAAACCUUUUGUAAACAGUGAAACACAGAAAAGUAAACUGUAAUAAAUUACAGCUUGCAAUAAUAAACCACUAAACAAACCAUCUUUAUGGUGAAAUUAUUUUACGUAUAGUUGUUGUUGUUUUUUUACUGUGUAAGAAUAUUCAACCAUGCUAUCAAUACAUUUUUCAAAAAAUGUCUCUCUGUGCAAAAUGAGUUUAAAAACAUAAACAACUGUGGGAUACUGUUUGUCAGUGAUUUGAACCAGGAAAACAAAUUGUGG
ensembl:lncRNA